rnacentral:misc_RNA from 1 species
CUACCUACUCAUUGUUUACGUUUGCUUGUGGUGUUUGAAGGUCAGAGUGAGCGAGAGAGUGAGAGAAUACGAGGGGGAGGCGUGUGGAAACAUGUAGGAAAGGAGUCAUUUUGUGAUGUGAUCAGCGCUCUCCUGGCCGUGUGCGUUCUGUUCGCCGCAGUGUCAUGCACUGUGGCCACUAAGGGCAAGGGCGGCGGCGGCGGCGGCUACCAGUCCGUCCACGUCGUCCACGUCCCGGUCAUCCACCGCUAUGUGCCAGUGCCGGUCUACCACGGCUACGGCGGCUACGGCAAGGGCCACGCCGUCGGCUAUGGUGGCGGCUUCGGCAAGGGUGGCGGCUUCGGCCACGGAGGUGGUUUCGGCAAGGGUGGUGGUUUCGGAAAGGGUGGCGGUUUCGGCUACGGACCCGCCCCCGUUCGCUACGGAAGUUACAGUUAUUAGAGACAUUAGAAUUGAGUUAGGCUGAAGGCCAGAAGUAUUGUGGGUGUCAACUUGCUCAUCCGGUUAUGUGUGUGCAAUGUUGCUGUUCUUUGUGCAAACCAUGACUGCCAGACAAUGGUGGUUGGGUGAUACUAGACCUCUGUAUACCGAGGUCUAUGGAGAUACUCAUUGGUAACGUUCUCCGAACAUGUGCUGCUCUUUUAUUAUGCAAGUGUCAUCGAAAGUCUCUCAUAUCAUAUGUGAAUGCGAUGUAUUUACUUGUGGUGACAUUCCCUGAUCCACAUCAAUUGCCUAUCAUACUUGUGUUUACCAUGAAAAGCAGAGGUCUUUGCAUGUUCUUGCGUUCGCAUUUUGAUUAUGUCUUCCACCACCCAAAUGUAUCCAAUUGUCUCUGAUAAAUACACAACAAAUGCCCGAAAA